rnacentral:rRNA from 1 species
CAAUAGCGUAUAUUUAUGUUGUUGCAGUUGAAAAGCUCGUAGUUGGAUUUGAGAUUUAGAGAUAUGGUCUCAUCUUCGGAUGUUGUACUGUACCUUUUUAUCUUUUACAUGAGAAGGCAUUCUGUUCUUUAUUGGAUGGUUUGUUGACUCAUGUCUUUUACUUUGAAAAAUUAGAGUGUUCAAAGCAGGCUUAUGCCUUGAAUACAUUAGCAUGGAAUAAUAAGAUAGGACUUUUGUCUAUUUUGUUGGUUUUUAUGGACUGAAGUAAUGAUUAAUAGGGGCAGUUGGGGACAUUAAUAUUUAAUUGUCAGAGGUGAAAUUCUUGGAUUUAUUAAAGAUUAACUACUGCGAAAGCAUUUGUCAAGGAUGUUUUCAUUAAUCAAGAACGAAAGUUGGGGAUCGAAGAUGAUUAGAUACCAU